GAUGGCGUAAGCUAUCGCUUUUGGAUGGACCCGCGGCGUAUUAGCUAGUUGGUGAGGUAACGGCUCACCAAGGCAAUGAUACGUAGCCGAACUGAGAGGUUGAUCGGCCACAUUGGGACUGAGACACGGCCCAAACUCCUACGGGAGGCAGCAGUAGGGAAUCUUCCACAAUGGACGCAAGUCUGAUGGAGCAACGCCGCGUGAGUGAAGAAGGCUUUCGGGUCGUAAAACUCUGUUGUUGGAGAAGAAUGGUCGGCAGAGUAACUGUUGUCGGCGUGACGGUAUCCAACCAGAAAGCCACGGCUAACUACGUGCCAGCAGCCGCGGUAAUACGUAGGUGGCAAGCGUUAUCCGGAUUUAUUGGGCGUAAAGCGAGCGCAGGCGGUUUUUUAAGUCUGAUGUGAAAGCCCUCGGCUUAACCGAGGAAGUGCAUCGGAAACUGGGAAACUUGAGUGCAGAAGAGGACAGUGGAACUCCAUGUGUAGCGGUGAAAUGCGUAGAUAUAUGGAAGAACACCAGUGGCGAAGGCGGCUGUCUGGUCUGUAACUGACGCUGAGGCUCGAAAGCAUGGGUAGCGAACAGGAUUAGAUACCCUGGUAGUCCAUGCCGUAAACGAUGAAUGCUAGGUGUUGGAGGGUUUCCGCCCUUCAGUGCCGCAGCUAACGCAUUAAGCAUUCCGCCUGGGGAGUACGACCGCAAGGUUGAAACUCAAAGGAAUUGACGGGGGCCCGCACAAGCGGUGGAGCAUGUGGUUUAAUUCGAAGCAACGCGAAGAACCUUACCAGGUCUUGACAUCUUUUGAUCACCUGAGAGAUCAGGUUUCCCCUUCGGGGGCAAAAUGACAGGUGGUGCAUGGUUGUCGUCAGCUCGUGUCGUGAGAUGUUGGGUUAAGUCCCGCAACGAGCGCAACCCUUAUGACUAGUUGCCAGCAUUUAGUUGGGCACUCUAGUAAGACUGCCGGUGACAAACCGGAGGAAGGUGGGGAUGACGUCAAAUCAUCAUGCCCCUUAUGACCUGGGCUACACACGUGCUACAAUGGAUGGUACAACGAGUUGCGAGACCGCGAGGUCAAGCUAAUCUCUUAAAGCCAUUCUCAGUUCGGACUGUAGGCUGCAACUCGCCUACACGAAGUCGGAAUCGCUAGUAAUCGCGGAUCAGCACGCCGCGGUGAAUACGUUCCCGGGCCUUGUACACACCGCCCGUCACACCAUGAGAGUUUGUAACACCCGAAGCCGGUGGCGUAACCCUUUUAGGGAGCGAGCCGUCUAAGGUGGGACAAAUGAUUAGGGUGAAGUCGUAACAAGGUAGCCGUAGGAGAACCUGCGGCUGGAUCACCUCCUUUCUAAGGAA
rnacentral:rRNA from 2 species